GACGAACGCUGGCGGCGUGCCUAAUACAUGCAAGUAGAACGCUGAGGUUUGGUGUUUAUACUAGACUGAUGAGUUGCGAACGGGUGAGUAACGCGUAGGUAACCUGCCUCAUAGCGGGGGAUAACUAUUGAAAACGAUAGCUAAUACCGCAUAAGAGUAAUUAACACAUGUUAGUUAUUUAAAAGGAGCAAUUGCUUCACUGUGAGAUGGACCUGCGUUGUAUUAGCUAGUUGGUGAGGUAAAGGCUCACCAAGGCGACGAUACAUAGCCGACCUGAGAGGGCGAUCGGCCACACUGGGACUGAGACACGGCCCAGACUCCUACGGGAGGCAGCAGUAGGGAAUCUUCGGCAAUGGACGGAAGUCUGACCGAGCAACGCCGCGUGAGUGAAGAAGGUUUUCGGAUCGUAAAGCUCUGUUGUUAGAGAAGAACGUUGGUAGGAGUGGAAAAUCUACCAAGUGACGGUAACUAACCAGAAAGGGACGGCUAACUACGUGCCAGCAGCCGCGGUAAUACGUAGGUCCCGAGCGUUGUCCGGAUUUAUUGGGCGUAAAGCGAGCGCAGGCGGUUCUUUAAGUCUGAAGUUAAAGGCAGUGGCUUAACCAUUGUACGCUUUGGAAACUGGAGGACUUGAGUGCAGAAGGGGAGAGUGGAAUUCCAUGUGUAGCGGUGAAAUGCGUAGAUAUAUGGAGGAACACCGGUGGCGAAAGCGGCUCUCUGGUCUGUAACUGACGCUGAGGCUCGAAAGCGUGGGGAGCAAACAGGAUUAGAUACCCUGGUAGUCCACGCCGUAAACGAUGAGUGCUAGGUGUUAGGCCCUUUCCGGGGCUUAGUGCCGCAGCUAACGCAUUAAGCACUCCGCCUGGGGAGUACGACCGCAAGGUUGAAACUCAAAGGAAUUGACGGGGGCCCGCACAAGCGGUGGAGCAUGUGGUUCAAUUCGAAGCAACGCGAAGAACCUUACCAGGUCUUGACAUCCUUCUGACCGGCCUAGAGAUAGGCUUUCUCUUCGGAGCAGAAGUGACAGGUGGUGCAUGGUUGUCGUCAGCUCGUGUCGUGAGAUGUUGGGUUAAGUCCCGCAACGAGCGCAACCCCUAUUGUUAGUUGCCAUCAUUAAGUUGGGCACUCUAGCGAGACUGCCGGUAAUAAACCGGAGGAAGGUGGGGAUGAUGUCAAAUCAUCAUGCCCCUUAUGACCUGGGCUACACACGUGUUACAAUGGUUGGUACAACGAGUCGCAAGCCGGUGACGGCAAGCUAAUCUCUUAAAGCCAAUCUCAGUUCGGAUUGUAGGCUGCAACUCGCCUACAUGAAGUCGGAAUCGCUAGUAAUCGCGGAUCAGCACGCCGCGGUGAAUACGUUCCCGGGCCU
rnacentral:rRNA from 1 species